rnacentral:rRNA from 1 species
UACGAAGGGGGCUAGCGUUGUCCGGAUUUACUGGGCGUAAAGAGCGCGCAGGCGGUCGUUCAAGUCGCGUGUGAAAGCCCCCGGCUCAACUGGGGAGGGUCACGCGAUACUGAUCGACUCGAAGGCAGGAGAGGGAAGUGGAAUUCCCGGUGUAGUGGUGAAAUGCGUAGAUAUCGGGAGGAACACCAGUGGCGAAGGCGACUUCCUGGCCUGUUCUUGACGCUGAGGCGCGAAAGCUAGGGGAGCAAACGGG